UUUUUUCUAAUUUCUCCCAUUGUUAUGGAUUUAUAAGUGAGCAAUUUCAUAUUUUAUUGCAAAAUAAGUGGAGGCAUGUGCCUGGAAGAUGGGGAGAAUGGCAUAUUCAAUUUCCUUUUGGCACAGAUUAAAUUUUUAAGAACAUAUUUGCCUAGGCUUCUGCUGGAUUUAGACUUCAGCUAGCAGGUCAAAUACAACUGAAGAAAUAUCUCAGGCUUACUAAAUUGACUUUGUACCACAUAAGGCUCCAUUCAGGUACU